rnacentral:rRNA from 1 species
UGCUUAACACAUGCAAGUCGAACGAACUCUUCGGAGUGAGUGGCGGACGGGUGAGUAACGCGUGAGAAUCUGCCUGUGGGUCGGGGACAACUACUGGAAACGGUGGCUAAUACCGGAUGAGCCGAAAGGUAAAAGAUUUAUUGCCCACAGAUGAGCUCGCGUCUGACUAGCUAGUUGGUAAGGUAAAAGCGUACCAAGGCGACGAUCAGUAGCUGGUCUGAGAGGAUGAGCAGCCACACUGGGACUGAGACACGGCCCAGACUCCUACGGGAGGCAGCAGUGGGGAAUUUUCCGCAAUGGGCGAAAGCCUGACGGAGCAAGACCGCGUGGGGGAGGAAGGUUUUUGGAUCGUAAACCCCUUUUGUCAAGGAAGAAGCUCUGACGGUACUUGACGAAUAAGCCUCGGCUAACUCCGUGCCAGCAGCCGCGGUAAUACGGAGGAGGCAAGCGUUAUCCGGAAUGAUUGGGCGUAAAGCGUCUGUAGG